rnacentral:rRNA from 1 species
AACGAACGCUGGCGGCAGGCCCAACACAUGCAAGUCGAGCGAAGCCUUCGGGCUUAGCGGCGGACGGGUGAGUAACGCGUGGGAACGUGCCCUUUGGUACGGAAUAGCCCCGGGAAACUGGGAGUAAUACCGUAUGUGGUCGAGAGACGAAAGAUUUAUCGCCAAAGGAUCGGCCCGCGUUGGAUUAGGUAGUUGGUGGGGUAAUGGCCUACCAAGCCGACGAUCCAUAGCUGGUUUGAGAGGAUGAUCAGCCACACUGGGACUGAGACACGGCCCAGACUCCUACGGGGGGCAGCAGUGGGGAAUCUUAGACAAUGGGGGAAACCCUGAUCUAGCCAUGCCGCGUGAUCGAUGAAGGCCUUAGGGUUGUAAAGAUCUUUCAGUGGGGAAGAUAAUGACUGUACCCACAGAAGAAGCCCCGGCUAACUCCGUGCCAGUCGCCGCGGUAAGAC